rnacentral:rRNA from 1 species
AUUGAACGCUGGCGGCAUGCCUUACACAUGCAAGUCGAACGGCAGCACGGGAGCAAUCCUGGUGGCGAGUGGCGAACGGGUGAGUAAUAUAUCGGAACGUGCCCAGUCGUGGGGGAUAACGUAGCGAAAGCUACGCUAAUACCGCAUACGAUCUAUGGAUGAAAGCGGGGGAUCGCAAGACCUCGCGCGAUUGGAGCGGCCGAUAUCAGGAUUAGGUAGUUGGUGAGGUAAAGGCUCGCCAAGCCGACGAUCUGUAGCUGGUCUGAGAGGAC